rnacentral:rRNA from 1 species
UACGAAGGGGGCUAGCGUUACUCGGAAUCACUGGGCGUAAAGCGCACGUAGGCGGACUCUUAAGUCGGUGGUGAAAUCCUGGAGCUCAACUCCAGAACUGCCUUUGAUACUGAAGAUCUUGAGUUCGGGAGAGGUGAGUGGAACUGCGAGUGUAGAGGUGAAAUUCGUAGAUAUUCGCAAGAACACCAGUGGCGAAGGCGGCUCACUGGCCCGAUACUGACGCUGAGGCACGAAAGCGUGGGGAGCAAACAGG